AGUGCGUGGUAUGGCAACAUAGUACGUUUUUACUUCUUAGAGGGACAUGUCCGGUUUACGGGCAGGAAGUUCGAGGCAAUAACAGGUCUGUGAUGCCCUUAGAUGUUCUGGGCCGCACGCGCGCUACACUGACGACUUCAACAAGUUUUUUUCUUUGAAAAAGUCCUUGGCUGGAAAGUCUGGGUAAUCUUUUAAACGGUCGUCGUGAUGGGGCUAGAUUCUUGCAAUUAUUAAUCUCCAACGAGNAACC
rnacentral:rRNA from 1 species